GCCUCUGAGCCCAAGCUAAGCCAUCAUAUCCCCUGUGACCUGCAUGUACACAUCCAGAUGGCCGGUUCCUGCCUUAACUGAUGACAUUCCACCACAAAAGAAGUGAAAAUGGCCUGUUCCUGCCUUAACUGAUGACAUUGUCUUGUGAAAUUCCUUCUCCUGGCUCAUCCUGGCUCAAAAGCUCCCCCACUGAGUACCUUGUGACCCCCACUCCUGCCCGCCAGAGAACAACCCCCCUUUUUCCUUUACCUACCCAAAUCCUAUAAAACAGCCCCACCCCUAUCUCCCUUCGCUGACUCUCUUUUCGGACUCAGCCCGCCUGCACCCAGGUGAUUAAAAGCUUUAUUGCUCACACAAAGCCUGUUUGGUGGUCUCUUCACAUGGACGCGCAUGAAAGAAUACAUGAAGCCGGGCACGGUGGCUCACACCUGUAAUCCCAGCACUUUGGAAGGCCGAGGCGGGCGGAUCACCUGAGGUCAGGAGUUCAAGACCAGCCUGGGCAACAUGGAGAAACCCCGUCUCUACUAAAAAUACAAAAAUUAGCUGGGUGUGAUGGCACGAGCCUGUAAUCCCAGCUACCUGGGAGGCUGAGGCAUGAAAAUCUCUUGAACCUGGGAGGGGAGAUCGCGCCACUGCCCUCCAACUUGGGUGACAGAGCGAGGCUCCAUCUCAAAAAGAAGAGUACAUGAAAAGUUCUCAAAUCAUAAAUAAAAAAAAAAUUGUUUGAAAGUUUA